rnacentral:ncRNA from 1 species
CUGGUUGAUUCUGCCAGUAGUCAUAUGCUUGUCUCAAAGAUUAAGCCAUGCAUGUCUAAGUAUAAGCAAUUUGUAUGGUGAAACUGCAAAUGGCUCAUUAAAUCAGUUAUUGUUUAUUUGAUAGUACCUUACUACAUGGAUACCUGUAGUAAUUCUAGAGCUAAUACAUGCUAAAAACCUUGACUUUGGAAGGGGUAUAUUUAUUAGAUAAAAAACCAAUGCCCUUCAGGGCUCUUUGGUAAUUUAUAAUAACUUGUUGAAUUGCAUGGCCUUGUGCUGGUGAUGGUUCAUUCAAAUUUCUGCUCUAUCAACUUUUGAUGGUAGAAUAGUGGCCUACCAUGGUGGCAAUGGGUAAUGGGGAAUUAGAGUUUGAUUCUGGAGAGGGAGCCUGAGAAACGGCUAUCACAUCCAAGGAAGGCAGCAGGCGCGCAAAUUACCCAAUCCCAACACGGGGAGGUAGUGACAAUAAAUACUGAUACAGGACUCUUUCGGGUCUUGUAAUUGGAAUGAGUACAAUUUAAAUCCCUUAACGAGAAACAAUUGGAGGGCAAGUCUGGUGCCAGCAGCUGUAGUAAUUCCAGCUCCAAUAGUGUAUAUUAAAGUUGUUGCAGUUAAAAAGCUUGUAGUUGAACCUUGGAUCUGGCUGGCUGGUCUGCUUUACAGUGUGCACUGGUCUGGCUGGAUCUUUUCUUCUGGGGAACCCUAUGGCCUUCACUGGCUGUAGAGGGAACCAGAACUUUUACUAUGAAAAAAUUAGAGUGUUCAAAGCAGGCCUUUGCUCAGAUACAUUAGCAUGAAAUAAUAGAAUAGAAUGUGUAGUUCUAUUUUGUUGGUUUCUAGAACCACUGUAAUGAUUAAUAGGGAUAGUCAGGGGCAUCAGUAUUUGACUGUCAGAGAUGAAAUUCUUGAAUUUGCUGAAGACUAACUACUGUGAAAGCAUUUGCCAAGGAUGUUUUCAUUAAUCAGUGAAUGAAAGUUAGGGGAUUGAAGAUGAUCAGAUACUGUUGUAGUCUUAACCAUAAACUAUACUGACUAGGGAUUGGAUGGGGCAACUUUGAAUAACCUGUUUGACACCUUAUGAAGAAAUCAAAAGUUUUUGGGGUUCUG